rnacentral:rRNA from 1 species
UGACCUGCCCUAUGAUAAGUUUAUUAAAUGGCCGCGAUAAUUUGAUCGUGCAAAGGUAGCAUAAUAAUUAGUUUUUUAAUUGGGAACUGGAAUGAAAGGUCGAACGAGAAAAAAUCUGUCUCAAUUUAAUUUAAUUAGAAUUUUAUUUUUAAGUAAAAAAGCUUAAAUAAUUUUAAAAGACGAGAAGACCCUAUAGAGUUUUAUAUUUAUAUAUAAUUUUUUAGUUUAAGAAUUUAAUUUUAAAAUUAUAAAUUAAAUAUUUAGUUGGGGUGAUUGAAAAAUUUAAUGAACUUUUUUUAUUUAAUAACAUUAAUAUAUGAAUAAAUGAUCCAUUUUUUAUGAUUAAAAGAUUAAAUUACCUUAGGGAUAACAGCGUAAUUUUUUUUGAGAGUUCUUAUCGAAAAAAAAGUUUGCGACCUCGAUGUUGGGAUUAAAA